UACGUAGGGUGCAAGCGUUGUCCGGAAUUAUUGGGCGUAAAGAGCUCGUAGGCGGUUUGUCGCGUCUGCUGUGAAAACCCGAGGCUCAACCUCGGGCCUGCAGUGGGUACGGGCAGACUAGAGUGAUGUAGGGGAGACUGGAAUUCCUGGUGUAGCGGUGAAAUGCGCAGAUAUCAGGAGGAACACCGAUGGCGAAGGCAGGUCUCUGGGCAUUAACUGACGCUGAGGAGCGAAAGCAUGGGGGAGCGAACAGG
rnacentral:rRNA from 1 species